UCCGUAGGUGAACCUGCGGAGGGAUCAUUACAGAGUUGCAAGACUCCCUAAACCAUUGUGAACCUACCUUCUACCGUUGCUUCGGCGGGCGGGCCCAGCGCCCCCCCCGGCCCCCCGCGGGCGCCCGCCGGAGGAUACCCAAACUCUUGACAUUAGUGGCCUCUCUGAGUAUUCUUUACUGAAUAAGUCAAAACUUUCAACAACGGAUCUCUUGGUUCUGGCAUCGAUGAAGAACGCAGCGAAAUGCGAUAAGUAAUGUGAAUUGCAGAAUUCAGUGAAUCAUCGAAUCUUUGAACGCACAUUGCGCCCGCCAGUAUUCUGGCGGGCAUGCCUGUUCGAGCGUCAUUUCAACCAUCAAGCCCCCGGGCUUGUGUUGGGGACCUGCGGCUGCCCGCAGGCCCUGAAAACCAGUGGCGGGCUCGCUAGUCACACCGAGCGUAGUAGCAUACAUCUCGCUCAGGGCGUGCUGCGGGUUCCGGCCGUUAAACAGCCUCUGCGCUACACCCAAGGUUGACCUCGGAUCAGGUAGGAAGACCCGCUGAACUUAAGCAUAUCAAUAAGCGGAGGA
rnacentral:rRNA from 1 species